CCAGUACUGUCUAAAUGUCACAUCAGUAAAAAAAUAAUGAUUCAAUUUUUAUCAUAAUUAACUGAACUCAAACUGCGUCAUGCGAAUAUUCCUGGCUGUAUCACUGAGGCCGACUCUAGUGUUUUAUUCCUUUAUGAAACAACUGCUCCAUUUAUCUAGAAAGAUGUCAUUAAGUAGACACAUAGCAACAAAACUGAAACAACACAUUCAUAAUUAUUUCUUCUUCAGUCAUCUUCAGCCUAAUUAUUAUUAUUAUCAGAUGACAAAGAUUCAUGUUUUUGUCAUUAGUUUAUAAGAAGUUCAAAGAUUAAAACUAUGAAAACCAGAAAACACCCAUGCAUAUUUAGAAAACAUUAAAUAUUGUUAAAAUAUUGAAAACACAGAAAUGAGACA